rnacentral:rRNA from 1 species
AUUGAACGCUGGCGGCAGGCCUAACACAUGCAAGUCGAGCGGGGUUUUCGGACCGAGCGGCGGACGGGUGAGUAAUGCGUAGGAAGCUGCCCGAUAGAGGGGGAUACCAGUUGGAAACGACUGUUAAUACCGCAUAAGGUCUACGGACCAAAGUGUGGGACCUUCGGGCCACAUGCUAUAGGAUGCGCCGACGUGGGAUUAGCUAGUUGGUGAGGUAAUGGCUCACCAAGGCGACGAUCUCUAGCUGGUUUGAGAGGAUGAUCAGCCACACUGGAACUGAGACACGGUCCAGACUCCUACGGGAGGCAGCAGUGGGGAAUAUUGGACAAUGGGCGCAAGCCUGAUCCAGCCAUGCCGCGUGUGUGAAGAAGGCCUUCGGGUUGUAAAGCACUUUCAGCGAGGAGGAAGGGUGGUGUGUUAAUAGCACAUCAUUUUGACGUUACUCGCAGAAGAAGCACCGGCUAACUCUGUGCCAGCCGCCGCGGUAAGAC